UACAGGAGUGGUCAUCUAGAAAAAGUUGUUUUUCAUUUAUGUCUUUCAGGGGGGAGAUGUGAAAAUUAUUGACCGCUUUCAUGUUCCAUGUUCUCUCUACAGACAACAAGCCAGAAAUAACGUGCUGGUUUGGAAGAGUGAAAGGUCAGUUUAAAAUGCCAGCACCUACUGUUUAAUGUAGGAAGAGAAACUGGCAAACCGUCUCAGACACUGAGAGGUUUUCUGGCUGCUGAGGAGGGGAGGGAGGCUGUGGGCCGUGGGGCCCAUCUCAGGUUUGCAAGGAGAGUCUGGACGUCGAUUUUAAGUUGGUUAUUAUCACCAUGGCUGUAGAGGCUUAUAUGGCCCCCGACUGAGAGGUGAGUUUUCUUUGUAAUUAAACCAACAGAGCACUGGACAGUACCAUUUUGUGAGGAAGGGUUGGAACACAAUCCCGUUAGGCCUUCAUUUAUUUAGGGCAGUAGGAAUGGAGUCUUCAGCAUCAUCGUGGAUACUAUGCCAGUUAAUUGAGUUUCCACACGAGAUCUUACAUAGACUGGCGCUUUUCAAAGAGUCUGGUACAUGGUGAAAUGAUUUGCAAGGUGCUCUCAAAGGUGGGUCAAGGAUCACCACAGGGGACAAGGGGGAGGUAGGUGACAGGGCCCGGCUACUUUCCUUACUCUAGAAAUUUCACUUGUGUUUUAUAUAUUCAGUGUUUUAGCUUUAACACACUUUUUAAAAGAAAUAAACGUUUGAACAAACUUGAAUGCUACUGAAGCGUUUCAGUCUUUCAGUGAAACGCUUUAAGUAGUUUUAAAACAUUUUUUAAAUUUAAAAAUGCUUUGGAAUGAUUGCUACACUCAUUACAAUAAUCAUGAUUGUGGGGGAAUCAUUGAUCGCAGCAGCGAUGUCCUCUGGUUUGAAAGUGAUUACCUGAUGUAGACCUUUUUGGUUUACUGUUUGGACUACUUUUGUUCAGGACACUUGGGGGAGUGUUGCCAUUUCAAAAUUUGACUGCUCUCCGCUGUUGAUUUCCUAGGUCACUGCCUCACUGUGCGCAUUUCACCUGCAGGAUUAGAAAUAAAUGAAUUUUAUAAAAGUACUCACUGAUCCAAAAUAGAAGUAGGAAACUGUCCCAAACCUUCUAAAAUAAAAAGCUCUCUAGAGAGAAACAUACCAGACCCAGCUGCUUGGGCAGGACCAAUGAUAAAUGCAAAUCACAGGCUUCCUUUUUCUUCCACCGCAAAUGUCAGAAAUGCUUGGCAUCUGAGUUACAUUGCAUUUUCCUUCCUUUUCGGAACAGCUUAACUCGGAAAGGUCAACGUAUCCCUUUGGGAAAAAUCUUUCCUUAUAAAUUGGAAUAUUUGCACACGCAACUGUAGGAAGUAUUUAACAUUUGCUUUGAUGGGACAGCAAUUUGUUCAAUGGAGUGGAAUUAUUCUUUUUUUCCAUUUCCCCACCUGUUUGUACAUCACAGGCACCCAAGUCACUGAGAGCAACUCUGAGGCAAUUCUUUCACGGGGUCAGAUCAUCCUCUCCACAAAGCCAGCCAAUGCCUUAGGCUUCUGAAAGUCGGGCAUGUUGCACCCUUUAUUCCAUGUGGAGAGACUUUAUUCUGCAUAAAAGCAGGGAUAUUCUACAGACUGUGUACACUGAAAUCUUAAAGGAAGAGGCGCACAGGGAAGGGGAAGAGAAGCAGGAAAAGGAAGAGUUGCCCCAGGGUCUCCUGUUCUACCACUGUGCCCAUUUGUUCAAAUGUGAAUGAGACAUGCAGGGUCUCGUGUCUUCAGCGGGCUGCUUUGUUGGAGCCUUUUAGUGUCUGCAAGGAAGGAUGCAGGACCUUGAGACAACGGGACACUGGUAUUGCUGAUCACCUGCCUCCAAUACAACGAAAAGGUGAGAGGAUAAUGAAUCCAUCUGACACCGAGGAGAAGCUAUCCUACUUGUUACAGCCUCCACAGUUUGGGUUUAUAUGUCAUUUUAUGAAAAAGAGAAACUGCUUCCCCACCGCACAGGAAAAGCCCACUCACCUUUCAUGAAGCCGGC